rnacentral:rRNA from 1 species
UUAUUGGGCCUAAAGCGUCCGUAGCUGGCCAGGCAAGUCCGUCGGGAAAUCCGCGCGCUUAACGCGCGGGCGUCCGGUGGAAACUGCGUGGCUUGGGACCGGAAGACCUGAGGGGUACGUCUGGGGUAGGAGUGAAAUCCCGUAAUCCUGGACGGACCACCGGUGGCGAAAGCGCCUCAGGAAGACGGAUCCGACGGUGAGGGACGAAAGCUCGGGUCACGAACCGGAUUAGAUACCCGGGUAGUCCGAGCUGUAAACGAUGUCUGCUAGGUGUGCCACAGGCUACGAGCCUGUGGUGUGCCGUAGGGAAGCCGUGAAGCAGACCGCCUGGGAAGUACGUCCGCAAGGAUGAAACUUAAAGGAAUUGGCGGGGAGCAC